rnacentral:lncRNA from 1 species
AUUUAGAAGCUGUGCUUGUGUAAGACCCCCUUUCAGGGACCCCCCACUCUAGUCUCGGGAGAGAGAGAGAGCACCCAAAGAAACACGAGAAUCCUUCUUGCAACAAACACAAGAGGCAGUUUAAUGGCGGAGCUCUGGGUCAAAACAUAUCUCACGCAGGAGACAGUGGAUUCGACCCCAAGGCUCGAAAGCUAGGGGUUUUUUAUGGGGUAAAGGGCUUAGGGGUGGGAAAUUCAGCAUAGGAACACACUAUUGGCUAAUUCAAACAUCAGCAAAAGAAUACGUGCAGGUCAGGGGGUCAGGGUUCUGUGACUUGUUGACUCAGUUCAGAUAGCCCUGUUAUGUCCUCACAUUCCUCUUUAUCUUUAUGGUCAAGCUGUUCCCAGGAAUGCUUUGACGGGGCAUACCCGGGUUUGUUUUUCUUUGUUCUCAGCCCCAGGCAGCCUCUAGGCUCACAAACAACCAGCAGUUUCUGAGUACUUUAUAUGACUUACAGGUCUUGAAAUUUCAUCUUUCUUUCACUUGAUGUUUUACACCUUAAAUCGCCAACACUCAGAGACAGUAGGCAGAUCUAUGUGAGUUCAAGGCUAGCCUUGUCUGCAUAGCCAGUUCCAGGCCAGCUAGGGCUACAUUGUGAGAGUGUCUGGGGCAUGGGGGGAGUGGAAGGAGAAACAUUUAGGUGGAGUAAGGAUGGUGCGUACCUGUGAUCCUAACACUUAGGAGGCAGAGGUAGUCGGAUCACACUCAGGGUCAGCCUUGGCUAUGUGUUCCUGGCCAUUCAGGCUAAGUAGCAAGUCUCUGUCCUAAAAAAUAGACAAACAACAAAAAAAAAAAAAACAGCUGGGUGGUAGUGGUGCACACCUUUAAGGGCAGAGGCAGGUGGAUCUCUGAAUCUGAGGCCAGCCUGGUCUACAGAGCAAGUUCCAGGACACCCAGGACUAUACAGAGAAACCCUGAUC